rnacentral:rRNA from 1 species
AGGAAUAUUGUAAAAGUUCUCUCUAUCAACGUUUUGCAGAUGUAUGUAACCUUAUUUUUAACAGUGGCUCAACAUCUAAAAUUGAUAAAUUAUCUCUUAUAAUCAGUGCAUAAAACGUCAGGUCAAUACGGUGCCAGCCGCCGCGGUUAUACCCUAUGGCCAGAUAGACUUAUAGGAUAAAAUCAGCUCCCUCUUCCGUUAGGUAGAAUCCGAGAAAGUGGGAUACAGAGUACCUAUAUAAAAUCAGAUUUGGCACCUGAGUAUAAAGUGGUCAACGAAAAAGAAGUAAGUUAAAAUCAUGAUACUAGGCGGUCUAUUAUAACAGAGAAGCUUGCUCAAGAAUUGAUAGUCCACGCUUAUAAUUACCUUCUCGCAGGCUGUAUAUGUCCGUUUAAGUGUGGCAGUAAAAUGCUUUUUCUGUAAAACUACACAGUAAGACUUCAGGUCAACAUGCACUUUGAAGAGGAAGAAGUGAGCUACAAUUAAAUCUAAUUAAUGAAUAAUAGAAUCUAGAAAUAGAAUUUGUAAGUAAGCUGAAGUUAAAGUAUUCGGUUGAAGUCUAAAGGAGCACUCACCGCCCGCUAUAUAGUACCACUAUAAAGGCGUAACAAGGUAGUCUAUCUAGAAAGAUAGACUGGAUA